AGUGCUGGUAUCUGCAUUUUGAAAAAAUGCCCCCAGUGAUGCUGAUGCAGGCAGGUCAUGAACUCCACUUCAUGGCGACCCUUUCUUCAAUUGGCCGAGAUUCUGGAGCGUGACUUGUGACAAGGAUUGAAAGGUGAAGAAACUCAGGCUCCUUGAGGCUUAAGGACUUGCUCAAGUUGAACAAAGAAGACAGCUGAGCGGCAAACAAACCCAUGAACAGGUGUUCGGUAUCAUCAGUCAUUAGCAGAAUGGCAACUGAAACCACAGUGAAAUGCCACCACACAACCACCCAGAUGCUAAAAUUAGAUGACCGAUCAUACCAAGUGUUGGCAAGGAUAUGGAGAAACUGGAAUGCUCACAGGAUGCUGAUGAGUAAAGAAAACUUCUAUUGAGCUAUUUACAACUUUUAACAAUUGAGCAAAAUAUACUCCCGUAAACAAAAUUUAGAGCGUAUUUCUUUCUCUCUACCUGCCUUCUCCAGAAUUUGGAAAUUAUUUGUGAGUAUUUUUAACAUAUGGCAAUAUAGUUAUUUGAGUAAGUUCAAUAAGAAUCAGUUUUCUUUUGUAGCAAGACACAUUUGGAGACACUGCUUAUUUUACCAAGGCUUUGACUGAAAUGACAUGUUUUCAGACUGCUUUAAGAAAUCGAGGCUGACCUAUAGAGCUGAUGAAAGCCCUUUGGAGAAACUGGCCUCCUACCUUGUCCUGUACAGGAUUACCGACCUGUGGCAAAUAAAGAAUGUCACUUUCUGACAGGCCCAGGAACUCCAAGCUAUGUUGGGACCUCAAGAAGAAAGGAAUUCACCCGAUUCAUACAAGUACCUGCAGGCACAAAUAAAUCCUUGGCUGGGCUCAAGAGACUUUUAAAAGAUCUAAUCUGAGAUUCCUUAUGAAAAAAAUUCCAGCAAAGCCAGUUAGAAAAAAACAGCCUAUAUGGCCAAUAAUUAUUCUUGCUGCACUUUAUGUAAAUAAUUAGGCAAAGUAUAAUAAGGUAAACUUAUUUUGCAAAUAAAUUAGUCUUUAGUAAAAAUAAACUGGAGAGAGAACAAUUAUGUUUCAAACAGCUACAGCACACCCGUUAUUAGAUUCCAGCCUCAUCCAUUGUUUUUGAGCCUCUGCUGAUGACCCUAUAUUUGACUGGUUUUUGGGGUCAUUCACCUGGAUUCCUUGAGGCUUCUGGUGAGUUCUACAGGGACUCCUGAAGCUAGGACUUUUGAAACUGCCACUGCAAAAUUACAACUGAGACAGUGAAAGAGAUCUAACCUAACCAACUCCAUCUUGCUUCUAACCUCCAAGCUGUCCUUGUUCGUUCCUGGGCAUAGGCUGAACUAAUUUUCGGAAGAACUUAGUUUAUAGUUUGUAGUUAAAAACAAGGACAAUAACAGCCCAUUUCCAGAAGAACCCUCCUUUUUUCCUGGGAAUUAGAUGCCUUUGCAGGACUAACAAAUUACCCACAGGAUUAGAAAUUAUGAUUUAGGAGUCAUGCAGCUGGAGGCUACAAGAUUCUGAUCCCCCCCCCCCCCUCCAAACUGCUCCUAAGAUCAGUGCUUGAGAUAUUUUGCAGACCCGGCGCUUGAUGGAUCAGCUGGCGCCACCCAGAUCAAGAAACCGGCUCAUCCGAUCUGUGGCUCCCACCCAGGAAUUGACUCAGCGCAGGAAGACAGCUUUGAUUCCCUAUGAUUUCAUCACUGACCCAACCAGUCAGCCCUCUCGACUCACUGGCUUCCUCCACCCACCAAAUUAUUCUUAAAAACUCUGACCCCGAAUGCUCAAGGAGGCUGACUGGAGUAAUAAUAAAACUCCAGUCUUCCGCA